GCAAAUAACGGGCAAGGAUGCGGGGUAGUAGGGGUGUGGCAAGCGUUGUCCGGAGUUGGUUGGCGUAAAGCGAGCGCAGGCGGUUCCUUAAGUCUGAUGUGAAAGCCCACGGCUCAACCGUGGAAGGUCAUUGGAAACUGGGGAACUUGAGUGCAGAAGAGGAGAGUGGAAUUCCAUGUGUAGCGGUGAAAUGCGUAGAUAUAUGGAGGAACACCAGUGGCGAAGGCGACUCUCUGGUCUGUAACUGACGCUGAGGCUCGAAAGCGUGGGGAGCAAACAGGAUUAGAUACCCCAGUAGUC
rnacentral:rRNA from 1 species